rnacentral:rRNA from 1 species
CCUACGGGAGGCAGCAGUGGGGAAUAUUGCACAAUGGGGGAAACCCUGAUGCAGCGACGCCGCGUGAGUGAAGAAGUAAUUCGUUAUGUAAAGCUCUAUCAGCAGGGAAGAAAAUGACGGUACCUGAGUAAGAAGCCCCGGCUAACUCCGUGCCAGCAGCCGCGGUACUACGUAGGGGGCAAGCGUUAUCCGGAUUUACUGGGUGUAAAGGGAGCGUAGACGGCAGUGCAAGUCUGGAGUGAAAGCCCGCGGCCCAACCGCGGGACUGCAUUGGGAACUGGCGCGCUGGAGUGCCGGAGGGGUAGGCGGAAUUCCUAGUGUAGCGGUGAAAUGCGUAGAUAUUAGGAGGAACACCAGUGGCGAAGGCGGCCUACUGGACGGGGACUGACGCUGAGGCUCGAAAGCGUGGGGAGCAAACAGGAUUAGAUACCCUGUAGUC